UUUGGAUGUGCCGCGCCAAAUUGUGUAUAUAAGGAAACAAACUGUGUUGACAUGUUGUGGAUUUGUUGGAUGGAGUUUUGCUUGCCCUCACAUUGCUCUACUGACUUCAUGGAUCGUUCCAAGAAGUUCUCCCCAGUCUGAAUAAUUUUGAUCUUGUGACGCCAAAUAAGGUGAAGUGUCGGCUCUUCUCUACAGCGCUAUCUUACAUCAAUAAGAGCACUUCAUCAAUGCUGAGGCAUUAUAGAGCUCGGCAUGGCAUUGAAGAAUUGGCAGAUACUCGUGUGAGUACCCCAGUUCCUAACAAGCAAGCAGUGGCUGAGGCUGUCAGCCACUCACCAUUGUUGAAAAUGAGGGAUUCAGGGAGCUCCUAAAACUUAUCAACUCUCUCUUAAAUUUUUAUGCUCACCAUCUUCAUCUGUACGCUGUGAAAGAGUUUUUUUCUAAGGCAGGGGAACUGGUGUCUAAGAGGAGAAAUCGCCUUGGAGCAAAGACACUUCAAAAACUUUUGUUCCUCAAUAAAAAUGCAUAAAUUAAUAAAUUUUUAGUCUUUUAUUUCAUAUGACUGAACACUUAAGUUAACAAAAUUCCAUACAUAAGUUAAAAAGUUAACAGAAUUUUAUUAGACACAUUUGCUAUAUUUUACAUAACAAAUUUUAGCAUUUACACAAACAAGGUUUGAUGCAAAUUUGAAACUCUUCUCAAAAAACACUCAGCAAACAAAUUGAGUAACUGAAAUUAUACAAUCAUGAGAGGAUAUGUUAAGUAAAAGACAAGCGAUUAAAUAUUUCACAGGCUGAUGUUGGGUUUGGAGCAUGUAAUCGUUUCCAUUUUAUUUUCAUUUUGCUGAUCUGCAAUGAUUUUAGAAUUACUGCAAGGGUCACUAUUGAGUGACCAACAGUGUCAAUACAGUGCCGACACAGUUUGUGUAGUGUGUCAAUACACUCCUUGAGGUCAAUACACUCCAUGAGGUAUCAUCAUCCCAUCACUCUGCAUUAGAGUUGUUUGCUCCAAACACAAAAUUAUUUCAG